UACCCUUGAUGGGGGAUAACCUCGGGAAACCGGGGCUAAUACCGCAUAACAUCUCUGGAUCGGAAGAACUGGAGAUCAAAGGAGCAAUUCGCUUAAGGAGGAGGUCGCGGCUGAUUAGCUAGUUGGCGGGGUAAUGGCCCACCAAGGCAAAGAUCGGUAGCCGGCCUGAGAGGGCGCACGGCCACACUGGAACUGAAACACGGUCCAG
rnacentral:rRNA from 1 species